AUGCUUUGGCUGGCACAGAUCCCCAAAUCCCAGCCCCAGCCCCUAACUCCAGGCUCAGAGAAGCACAAGGGUGGCUUGCCCCAGGGUCUGGGGCAUCACCUUCCUGGGCAGAUUUCAGCAUACACGGCGCACCCUUUACCUCCAUAUUCUCACCUGAGGAUAACACCAAGAGAGAAGCUGAGUAUCGGAGAGCCCACCCAGGUCUAUGGAGUGGAACAGGGAGGCCGGGGGGAGUGGGGGGAGGUCGUUGGUGGCAGGGAGGGGUGUCCAAGUUUGUAUCUCAAACGUGCCGCAAGCCCUUGGGACAGCCUCUUCCUGCUUAGAGCCAGGCUCCACUUCCUUCCAAGAGGGCAUCAGGCCAAGCUGUCUAGGCCCCCAGAGCACAGACACCUCUGUCGCCCCAGGAGAAUCAUGGAAACACCACCUGCUAAUCACGCCGAAAAGCAGGGUCAGGCCCGGCAGGAGGAGAGAGGAGCCCCUUUUCCGUGGCAGGAUACACCUGCAGGGCUUCUCGCCCAGUCGGCCGCUCCCCGCCCUGGCAGUGCCACAUUUCUGGACCAACGGGGCCCUCUGCCGGCCAGGCCGCUGCGCGCCGGUGCCUGGUCCACGGGAGAGGGAACAGGUGACAACGGGUGCAGGGCGGCAGCCCGGAACGGGCAUGAGGCACCCAGGACGGGGUCUGGGCGGGACUCGAGGCUGCCCUCGGCUCCAGGAGUGGCAGGAGGGCAGAAGGCGGGGCGGCUGGGGAGAGCCGCAGGGCUGCCUACACGAUGCCACGCAAACCUCGGGGGCCCAGCUGCAGGGCACUGCGAGGGUCCCCAGAGCUCGCCUGGCAGGACAGCCCAGAUCUGGGAGCGAGCAACCAGGAAAGGCAGGAAAGAACGAUGGGGCGCGACGAGCCAAAACCACAAAAAACUGCUGCUGCGGAGAAGCGCGCGGGGCAGCGACCCGGGAGGCGGCUGGAGGCAGCAUUCACAGCCCGCCUGGGCCCGGCGCACCAGAGAGGUCCCACAGACGCGCUCCCGCGGGUCGCGGCCCAAGCGAACGUCAGAAGCAAAGCGCAAGAAAAAUAAAAUUCCUCCAGCCUGGAGUUUUUUUCCCCCUUUGGGGCUCAGUGCAAGGAACAUCUGGAUUUUGUACGUAUUUUUUUGUUGUUGUUAAAUUAACUUCUCCGGGAGAGAAAGGAGGGGGAAACUGCAAGGCGGGUGGGUGUGCAGGGGCCAGGGAGGCUCCAGACGUUUGGCAAGAAAUCCCAGCCAAAGGCAGCCGAUAACCAGAGCUUGGUCCCGCAGCUGCAGGGAGCCUCGCGCACGGCCGCGGGCGCGGCCACAGGGACUACGGCUCCGGGGUCACGGAGGACCGGGGCCUCACGCCAGCCCGUCGGGCACGCCGGCCCCUCUCCGUGAGCCGCGCCACAGGGACACCGACUCCCGAAACCAGCGACGCGGGCGCCGCAAACAAACAGCUCCAGGCAACCCGGCGCCCCUCGCUAGCCCGGGCACCGCGCCCCGCGCACCUGGAUCGCCCCCGCCCUCGCGCCCGCGCCGGC
rnacentral:lncRNA from 1 species